GACGAACGCUGGCGGCGUGCCUAAUACAUGCAAGUAGAACGCUGAAGGAGGAGCUUGCUUCUCUGGAUGAGUUGCGAACGGGUGAGUAACGCGUAGGUAACCUGCCUGGUAGCGUGGGAUAACUAUUGGAAACGAUAGCUAAUACCGCAUAAUAGCAGUUAUUGCAUGAUAACUGUUUGAAAGGUGCACUUUCACCACUACCAGAUGGACCUGCGUUGUAUUAGCUAGUUGGUGGGGUAACGGCUCACCAAGGCGACGAUACAUAGCCGACCUGAGAGGGUGAUCGGCCACACUGGGACUGAGACACGGCCCAGACUCCAAGGGAGGCAGCAGGAGGGAAUCUUCGGAAAUGGACGGAAGGCUGACCGAGCAACGCCGCGGGAGGGAAGAAGGGUUUCGGAUCGUAAAGCUCGGUUGUAAGAGAAGAACGAGUGUGAGAGUGGAAAGUUCACACUGUGACGGUAUCUUACCAGAAAGGGACGGCUAACUACGUG
rnacentral:rRNA from 1 species